AAAUUGACGGGAAGGGCACACAAAGAGUGGAACCUGCGGCUUAAUUUGACUCAACACGGGACAUCUCACCGGGUCAAGAUACAGUGAUGAAGGACAGGUAGAAAGACCUUUCCCAAUAAUGUAAGUGGUGGUGCAUGGCCGUUCUUAGUUCGUGGAGUGAUUUGUCUGGUCUAUUCCGAUAACGAGCGAGAUCUCAGUGUUUUACUAUGGGGCGCGUAGCCCGGUCUCCGCUCUGCGCGGGUUAAUGUGCGCGCUCGGGGGCGACCCUGGGCGCGUACGGAUGUUCGUUUGGGAGUGCAGUGCCAGCUGCCGCCUGAGAGCGCGAGCUCCUUCUUAGACAGAUCGCGGCCGAUAAGGUCGCUGAAAUGAGGCAAUAACAGGUCAGUGAUGCCCUUAGAUGUUCCGGGCCGCACGCGGGUUACAAUGGUACACAAAACAGGCAUGCUCUCCGUCAAAGGCGCGCUCUUUAGCGUGUCUGGGGGGCAGCCCCGUCGCCUAAGGGCGUACGGUAAUCCCUAGUCUGUACCUUGACUGGGAUAGUCUAUUGAAAUUAUUGGUCUUGAACGAGGAAUUUUUAGUAGGCGCGCGUCAUUAGCGCGUGCCGAAUCAGUCCCUGCCCUUUGUACACACCG
rnacentral:rRNA from 1 species